rnacentral:lncRNA from 1 species
UAAUUCCAUUUAUCUUAACAAUUUAAUUGAGAAAUUUAUGUGUUUUAUUAAGAAUAUUGUUAAGAAAUGUCUAGGCAAGUUCCCAUAAUUUUUAUGAAUUUAUUGAAGAAUUUUUUGAGAUGAAAGAAAAAGUUCAGGGAUAGCCGAGACGUUUCCUGAUAGUCUCAGAGACGUCUCUGGCACAAACAGGAAGAACUGGCACGUCUGGAGACGUCCCCGGCACCUGCCGAGUCGUCCCCGCGAUAGCGGAGUCGACUCUCUCAGUAGCGGAGUCGACUCUCUCAGUGGCGGCAGAAAGGCAGUUUUCAAGAGACAUGCGCGAGACGUCCCCACCAUACGCGGAGUCGUCCCCGCAAGUAAAAAGCAGAUCUCCGGAGUCGUUCCCUAGAUAGCGGAGACGGCUCUCUCAGGGUUUUCCAGAGAAUGAUUUUUUCGGUGAUAAGGCAGCGGAGACGUCCCCUGAAAGAGCGGAGUCGACUCUCUCAGGGAAUUCCAGAAGACAUGUUUUUCUGAGAUAAAGAAGCGGAGUCGUCCCCGAGGGAGCGGAGUCGUCCCCAUUCAAAAAGUGCAAACAAGCCGAG